GCGAAUAGGCUGGGGGAGGUGGAUGUUGCUCUUUGCAUGGAGCUGCAAAGGAGGCAUGUGGCAGAACAGGGACUCUCAGGGAGGCACAAAGCAGUGAGCAGAUAACUGCGUUUCUUCAGGCGAGCCACCUGCGGGGGGAGGGUCAGGAGGACCCAGUAGCUGACCCAGGGGCUGCUGCUUUCCCUUUCCAUCAGGCCCUGCUGCAGACUGGCCAUGGGCUCUGGUUUCCAUCUCAACAGAAAGGAAUAGUGCUCUGUCCCUAGCUUGCUGGGAGAGAAAAGCAGGUUGGGAAGGUCUGUGAAUGUUAUAAAGUGCUUUGGCCCAAAGGCUCUGGAGAUGCGUGCUGUAUUGAGAGUAACAGUGAAAGCACUGACUUGGGUGAUGAAAAGGAACCAGCUUGGUUUUCCAUGUCGGGUAGAUCCGGCCCCGUCUGCUCUGCAAGAUUAAAUUUAUUUCCAUCCUCCUAACUGAACUUUCUUUAAAUGGCGUUGGGGUGACAGGGACUGAAAUAGAUUUCCUACAGAGGCCCUCCCAAGUGGCACUGGACCCAGCAUGACUCUUGAUAACCCUUAUUCCCUGCCCACGGACGUUAUCUCUGUGGUGACAAACAGCCCUUUCUGGACAGAAGGAGGAAAUUCCACUCAUUAUUCAGCAACUGUUGGAGCCUGACUACAGUGCUCUAUCUCCUGUUUGGUACACCACUGUCAAGCUGUCAUUGUCAGGCAUUUCCUUUGCUGACAAUCAAUGCGAGACUUAUAGGAAGAGUAUGCUUCAUUCCUGGAUGCCCAGUGAGGUCCCAGCAUGAUCCAGCUCCAGAUAGCAAAUAAAGGUGUGAUGGUUCAUUUUAACUAUGGUCCCACUGGCUUGAAGAGUAUCCCCCUCAGCUUCUCUUCUCUGUGCAAUACUUUCCGUCUCAUAGACUAUGCUGCAUGCAAACAGAUGCCAGGGGCUAUGACCACUCUACACCCCUGGGUUGUCAAAUGCGGAGGGGGUGCUAGUUAAAUCCUUGCUAGAUAGGAAGGAUGCUUCAAGAUGGUUCCAGUACAGAAAACAUUGCCUAAAUAAUCUAUAUGAUCAUUAGCACUUUCUCUGGUGUAGCAUGGCCUUCUUAGGAGCUGUACAUGACAGAGGAUGAAUGUGAGCUAAUACAAAUUAUACUACAGACCUCUGCACCACGUAGCAUUCAGAUAGCGAGCACAUUUACACUAGUGUAUCUUACUGCAGUUUUGUGUACUGAUGGAAAGUACACCAGGUUCAAGAGGAGACAGACAAGAAGGCAUUUUGUAGCAGCUGUUCAUAUAGGCUGUUAAUUCAGACUUUCCCAAUAGGUUGUGAGGAGCAGGUAAUAGCUAGCAAAUGGUUACCCAGGGAUAGAGCAAACAAUGAUAAUAAAAUUUACAGUGCUGUCAUUUUAUUCCUGUUUUUUCCUCAAAGUAAUUUGAGACUAGAUUCUAGUAGGUGACUCUGAUGUUGGGUUGUUUGCCAUCCAUCUGUUCCUUGCUUUCACCAGCAUAGAGGCUGAUCAUUACACCCGUAUAUGUGUGUUGCCUCUUGAAGCCUUUCAACAGUGUAGUGCAGGGAAUCAGGCAUCAGACUGGAGUCAGCAGACCCAGGGUCUGAUCUUGGCUCAACCUGUGACCUUCAACAAGCUGUUUCCCCUUUUUGUGCCUCUAUUUCUCCAUCUGUAAAAUGGGGACAAAGAUGCUUGCACUUUGGAAGCAGAUAUACGUGUCUCAGAAAGGCCUAAGUAGCAUUUCCACUGGUGGACUGACAUAGCAUUUGAAGACUGCAAAAUAUUAUGGUUCUUGUGAGCUUAAUGAUUAGCCUCAUUUUUUAGAGGACUAAACUGAAGCAUGGAGAAUAAAAAAAGACUUGCCUUAUUUCAAAGCCAGGGAGAACCCCAGCUCUCUCACUUGCCAUUGCAAUGAUUUAAAUUACUAGACAAGACUCCCUGUCCUUGUAUUACCAAGUCAAGGAGAGCUGAGUAGGAAGAUGGUGAAAAGAAGAGUCUGUAACACCUGCCUGAUAAGCUAAAUUCUGGUUUGUCCUUCACUGAUGUUCUGCAGGAUCAGGAUGGGGAGAGAUACCUUCCCAUAGCCAGUCCGUCUGGACAGGACUUAAAAGGAACAAGAAAAGGUGGGUGGUAAGUCUCUAGCUUUCCUUUCUUCUUUCAGCCAUUGCACCCCCUUCUCUUGUUCAUUUUUUCCUAUUUUUAUUUAUUUUCCCAAAUAACUCCUUAUUUCAUUCCUUUGGCUCAGUAGGGGUUUAGGGAGAGAUGUCACAUCUCCAGUAAAUAAAGCAAGGGUGCAAAUGCCAGGAAAAGUCACCAACCUGGUUCAGAAAGGACAUAAGUAUCAGCAAAGGGGAUAGAAUAGAAAGUAUAGACUAAGCGCCAGAAGAAGCCAACCUUGCAGUGAGAUCUCUUAUUUUUUACUGUUGUGUAUUUGCAUUGCUCUAGUCCUGGAGCAGUGUUUGUGUUUGCACCAGUACUGUACACAG